AUGAGGCCUGAUGCUCGGAGGAUCCCCUCCCUAUGUGCAGGGAUGAGGCCUGAUGCUCUGAGGAUCUCCUCCCUCUGCGCAGUGAUGCUAGCUGCUCUGAGAAUUCCCUCCCUCGGUGCAGGGACACUGGCUGUUUGGAGGAUCCCCUUCCUCUGUGCAGGGAUGAGGCCUGAUGCUCGGAGGAUCUCCUCCCUCUCAGCAGGGACACUAGCCUUUGGGACAAUCCCCUCCCUGUGCGCAGGGGCGUUCGCCAUUGGGACGAUUUCCUCCUUCUGCGCAGUGACACUGGCUGUUUGGAGGAUCCCCUCCCUCCGUGCAGGGAUGAGGCCUGAUGCUCGGAGGAUCUCCUCCCUCUCAGCAGGGACACUAGCCCUUGGGACAAUCCCCUCCCUGUGCACAGGGACGCUGGCCAUUGGGACGAUUUCCUCCCUCUGCGCAGUGACACUGGCUGUUUGGAGGAUCCCCGCCCUCUGUGACGAGAUGAGGCCUGAUGAUCGUAGGAUCUCCUCCCUCUGUGCAUUGAUGCUGGCGGCUGAGAGAUUCCCCUUCCUCUGUGAAGGGACACUAGCUGUUUGGAGGAUCCCCUCCCUCCGUGCAGGGAUGACGCCUGAUGAUCGGAGGUUCUCCUCCCUCUGUGCAUUGACGCUGGCGGCUGAGAGAAUCCCCUCCCUCUGUGAAGGGACACUGGCUUUUUGGAGGAUACCCUUCCUCUGUGCAGGGAUGAGGCCUGAUGCUCUGAGGAUCUCCUCCCUCUGCGCAGUGAUGCUAGCUGCUCUGAGAAUUCCCUCCCUCGGUGCAGGGACACUGGCUGUUUGGAGGAUCCCCUUCCUCUGUGCAGGGAUGAGGCCUGAUGCUCGGAGGAUCUCCUCCCUCUCAGCAGGGACACUAGCCCUUGGGACAAUCCCCUCCCUGUGCACAGGGACGCUGGCCAUUGGGACGAUUUCCUCCCUCUGCGCAGUGACACUGGCUGUUUGGAGGAUCCCCUCCCUCUGUGACGAGAUGAGGCCUGAUGAUCGUAGGAUCUCCUCCCUCUGUGCAUUGAUGCUGGCGGCUGAGAGAUUCCCCUUCCUCUGUGAAGGGACACUAGCUGUUUGGAGGAUCCCCUCCCUCCGUGCAGGGAUGACGCCUGAUGAUCGGAGGUUCUCCUCCCUCUGUGCAUUGACGCUGGCGGCUGAGAGAAUCCCCUCCCUCUGUGAAGGGACACUGGCUUUUUGGAGGAUACCCUUCCUCUGUGAUGGGAUGAGGCCUGAUGCUUGGACGAUCUCCUUUCUCUGCACAGCAACUUCGGCUGCUGUGAUGAUCUGAAGGUAUAAUAUAGAGCAUAUUGUCAUUCCUUAAAAAAUCAACUCAAUAGGAAUAAUGUUUUGUUCACUCAGUGUAGAUCAAUCCCUAGCAUAUACUUUCAUUUGUAUGUGUACUGAUACUGCAAAUACACAAAUUAUAUUAAUGUUAUCUACAAUAUAUUAUAAUACCAUAAGCCUCCCUGCUGCAGGGGCAUUUCCUACUACAAUUUUAAACUGAUUUUCUUCACUUUUAUUUUGCAUCUUUGUUAAUUUUCACAUUUAUUGUGUUUGGAAUGGCACUGUUACUACAGCAUUUGAUGUAAGUAUGUAGGACAAUUACCCAUAAUGCUCACUGACUGAACAUUCAAAAUGACCAUGGCAAUUAUUGACGCAUUCACAUGCCAUCGGAAAAUUGGAACCUCAGAGUUAAAAUGAAUGUAAGUUAUUAGCGUAGAGCUUCCUUCUGGUUGAUUCUGAUACUUCAGUGGGAAACUUGAAAUCAUCAUUCCAUAAUGAGUUAGCGAGUCAGAAAUGUCAGAAUUUCCGAGUUCCGACUUGAAGGGCCUUCUAUGAUGUUAGACAGGUCAGUAACCAAAUUAUUUUACUGUGCCCAGUGCCCACACAGACUUUUAUGGUCACACAAGUUGCCACCGGUAUAUUCAAAAUGAGUAGCCUAACAAUUAUUUAUGUGGCCCCAGUUACAUUUACAACCAAGAUAACCAUAGAUGGGAAGUUGACAAUAGGUUAUUAUUAGGGUAAAUAAAUUGUAUUUCUAUGGUUGCAGUCCUCAAAGAUUGAAUUGCAUUGAAUUGAAUUAAUCAGAUCCAAUGAUUUACCGCCCGUAGGGUGGGGUAAAGCUAGUCAUCAUUAUUAUAAUCACCAUCUCAAUCGUUAUCACCAUACCAUCAUAGACUUAUUCUUC
rnacentral:lncRNA from 13 species